rnacentral:lncRNA from 1 species
AGCCGGUUUGCUGACACUUGUCUCCUCUUUGGCAGCACUUUGCCAGGGUAAGCAUGCAGAUUCCGCAUCCUCCAGCCCAGCCCAAGGGACAGCAAGUGGGGAGGAGGUGGAGGAAGGAUGUGGAAGCUGUGACAGGAAAUAGAAUGGGAGCAUCGACCAAGCUGGUACUGCAUGCUAAGUUUCAACUGACCAUGAAAAAGAGCAGAGAAGAGGCUGCCGCAGUAGCGCAGAAGAUGAGUAGAGAUUCCCUGCAGAAUCGUCUCAGUAAGCUGGAGAAUUUAGUGCACAAGAUGCUCCUUCACCGAGUGAAGCUGCUUUUGAUUUCUCUUUCAUCAUGUAGCAUUGUACUUCCUCGUGGAAAGUGCCGGGUCUGAACAAAAGGCGACAGUCAGGUGAAUCUUUCAGGCUGAAGACUUUUACUCCUCAGAGAUGGCUGUAUGGAGUGCACUCAGUGCCCAAUUUCUUCAAUGCUGCCAAGAAAAAAGUUGUUCAAAUAAAACAUACUGUGCCAUAACA